AUCUGCCCUGCACUCUGGGACAAGCCCUGGAAACGGGGUCUAAUACCGGAUACGACACAGGAAGGCAUCUUCUCUGUGUGGAAAGCUCCGGCGGUGCAGGAUGAGCCCGCGGCCUAUCAGCUUGUUGGUGGGGUGAUGGCCUACCAAGGCGACGACGGGUAGCCGGCCUGAGAGGGCGACCGGCCACACUGGGACUGAGACACGGCCCAGACUCCUACGGGAGGCAGCAGUGGGGAAUAUUGCACAAUGGGCGAAAGCCUGAUGCAGCGACGCCGCGUGAGGGAUGACGGCCUUCGGGUUGUAAACCUCUUUCAGCAGGGAAGAAGCGCAAGUGACGGUACCUGCAGAAGAAGCACCGGCUAACUACGUGCCAGCAGCCGCGGUAAUACGUAGGGUGCGAGCGUUGUCCGGAAUUAUUGGGCGUAAAGAGCUCGUAGGCGGCUUGUCACGUCGGAUGUGAAAGCCCGGGGCUUAACCCCGGGUCUGCAUUCGAUACGGGCAGGCUAGAGUUCGGUAGGGGAGAUCGGAAUUCCUGGUGUAGCGGUGAAAUGCGCAGAUAUCAGGAGGAACACCGGUGGCGAAGGCGGAUCUCUGGGCCGAUACUGACGCUGAGGAGCGAAAGCGUGGGGAGCGAACAGGAUUAGAUACCCUGGUAGUCCACGCCGUAAACGUUGGGAACUAGGUGUGGGCGACAUUCCACGUCGUCCGUGCC
rnacentral:rRNA from 1 species